CGCGAUUCGCCCUUCGGGGUGCAGCAGGCGCGAAACCUUUGCAAUACACGAAAGUGUGACAGGGUCAUCCCGAGUGCCGACCGCUGAGGUUGGCUUUUACCCAGUCUAGAAAGCUGGGGGAAUAAGGAGAGGGCAAGUCUGGUGUCGGCCGCCGCGGUAAUACCAGCUCUCCGAGUGGUGUGGACGUUUAUUGGGCCUAAAGCAUCCGUAGCUGGCUGAACAAGUCCCCUGUUAAACCCACCGAUUUAAUCGUUGGCUUGCGGGGGAUACUGCUCGGCUAGGGGACGAGAGAGGCAGACGGUAUUCCCGGGGUAGGGGUGAAAUCCUAUAAUCCCGAGAAGACCACCAGUGGCGAAGGCUGUCUGCUAGAACGCGCCCGACGGUGAGGGAUGAAAGCUGGGGGAGCGAACCGGAUUAGAUACCCGGGUAGUCCCAGCUGUAAACGAUGCAGACUAGGUGUUUGGACGGCCACGUGCCGUUCUAGUGCCGCAGGGAAGCUGUUAAGUCUGCCGCCUGGGGAGUACGAUCGCAAGAUUGAAACUUAAAGGAAUUGGCGGGGGAGCAC
rnacentral:rRNA from 1 species